GCCUGGCAUGGUGGUGCGUGCCUGCAGUCCCAGCUACUCAGGAGGCUGAGGUGAGAGAACAGCUUGAGUCCAGGAGUUCUGGGCUGCAGUGCGCUAUGCUGAUCAGGUGUCCAUACUAAGUUCGGCAUCAAUUUGGUGACCUCCAGGGAGCGGGAGAACACCCAUUUGGCUAAGGAGGGGUGAACCAGCCCAGGUCAGCAAUGGAACAGGUCAGAAUCUGGUUCUGUGACUUCCCAAAGCCCUGGGCUUUUCAUUCUAUGCAAUCUCUAAACAAUGAUCAUGAGUACUGUUCCUCUG
rfam:Fukomys damarensis contig150758, whole genome shotgun sequence.